rnacentral:rRNA from 1 species
UACGGAAGGUCCGGGCGUUAUCCGGAUUUAUUGGGUUUAAAGGGAGCGUAGGCCGGAAAUUAAGCGUGUUGUGAAAUGUAGAUGCUCAACAUCUGCACUGCAGCGCGAACUGGUUUCCUUGAGUACGCACAAAGUGGGCGGAAUUCGUGGUGUAGCGGUGAAAUGCUUAGAUAUCACGAAGAACUCCGAUUGCGAAGGCAGCUCACUGGAGCGCAACUGACGCUGAAGCUCGAAAGUGCGGGUAUCGAACAGG